AGUUUGAUCAUGGCUCAGAUUGAACGCUGCGGCAUGCCUUACACAUGCAAGUCGAACGGCAGCACGGGAGCUUGCUCCUGGUGGCGAGUGGCGAACGGGUGAGUAAUACAUCGGAACGUACCCUGAAGUGGGGGAUAACGUAGCGAAAGUUACGCUAAUACCGCAUAUUCUGGUGAGCAGGAAAGAGGGGGAUCGCAAGACCUCUCGCUUUAGGAGCGGCCGAUGUCGGAUUAGCUAGUUGGUGAGGUAAAGGCUCACCAAGGCGACGAUCCGUAGCGGGUCUGAGAGGAUGAUCCGCCACACUGGGACUGAGACACGGCCCAGACUCCUACGGGAGGCAGCAGUGGGGAAUUUUGGACAAUGGGCGCAAGCCUGAUCCAGCCAUGCCGCGUGAGUGAAGAAGGCCUUCGGGUUGUAAAGCUCUUUCGGUGGGAAGAAAUUGCUUCGGUUAAUACCUGGAGUAGAUGACGGUACCCGCAUAAGAAGCACCGGCUAACUACGUG
rnacentral:rRNA from 1 species